AAAAUGUGGAAGAUAUUUGCAAGCAUUCACAGGCAAGUUUGAAACUAUCCAAGGAUGCUACUAAUGAACAAAUAUCUCCACAUUAUUAUGAGCCAAACAUCCAAGAUGUGGUGAAUGUACAACAUCAUCACAGGAUUAUGAGCCAAACAUCCAAGAUGUGGUGAAAGUACAAACAUCAUCACAGGUAUUAUAACAUGAAAUUAGAUGAACCAAAUACACAAUAUCUACUAAAUGAUAUUGUUAAUCCUUUU